CGGGCUUCGGCCCGGGGCAAAGCCGCGAACGGGUGAGUAUCACGUGGGUAACCUGCCCCGAUGACCGGGACAACCCGAGGAAACUCGGGCUAAUACCGGAUGUGUUCUCAAUCCAUCAGGGUGGAGAGCAAAGGAAGCUUCGGCCUCCGCAUCGGGAUGGGCCCGCGGCCCAUUAGCUUGUUGGUGAGGUAAAGGCUCACCAAGGCAACGAUGGGUAGCUGGUCUGAGAGGACGAUCAGCCACACUGGGACUGAGACACGGCCCAGACUCCUACGGGAGGCAGCAGUGGGGAAUCUUGCGCAAUGCGCAAAAGCGUGACGCAGCAACGCCGCGUGAGGGAAGAAGGCCUUCGGGUUGUAAACCUCUUUCAGGAGGGACGAAGGUUCAGGCGUGAAUAGCGUCCUGGACUGACGGUACCUCCAGAAGAAGCCCCGGCUAACUACGUGCCAGCAGCCGCGGUAAUACGUAGGGGGCUAGCGUUGUCCGGAAUCAUUGGGCGUAAAGAGCGUGUAGGCGGCCCGGUAAGUCCGCUGUAAAAGUCAAAGGCUCAACCUUUGAAUGUCAGUGGAUACUGCCGGGCUAGAGUCCGGAAGAGGCGAGUGGAACUCCUGGUGUAGCGGUGGAAUGCGCAGAUAUCAGGAAGAACACCAACGGCGAAGGCAGCUCGCUGGGACGGUACUGACGCUGAGACGCGAAAGCGUGGGGAGCGAACAGGAUUAGAUACCCUGGUAGUCC
rnacentral:rRNA from 1 species